GUCCUCUUGAGUAUGAUUUGAGGUCCGGCCUGCUCACUGACAAGGUUUUAAAGAGCCGCGGUAUUUUGACCGUGCAAAGGUAGCAUAAUCAUUAGUCUCUUAAUUAGAGGCUGGAAUGAAUGGUUUGACGAGAAAUCAACUGUCUCUUAAUAAUUUUUAAAAUUUAACUUUUAAGUCAAAAGGCUUAAAUUUUUCUUUAGGACGAGAAGACCCUAUAGAGCUUGACAUUUUAUUUUUAUAUAGUUUUUGGUUAGUCUUUCUAUAUUUAAUGAUAAUGUUUUGUUGGGGUGACAUGAAGAAUAAAUAAACUCUUCAUUAUAAAAUCAUUGAUUUAUGUUUAUCAUGAUCCAUAAUUUAUGAUCAUAAGAUUAAGUUACCUUAGGGAUAACAGCGUAAUUGUUUUUGAGAGUUCAUAUUGACAAAACAGAUUGCGACCUCGAUGUUGGAUUAAGAAAAAUUUUUGGCGCAGGAGCCCAAUAAUUAGGUCUGUUCGACCUUUAAAUUCUU
rnacentral:rRNA from 1 species